rnacentral:rRNA from 1 species
GACGAACGCUGGCGGCGUGCCUAAUACAUGCAAGUCGAACGCAGUGGGGACGGGUGAGUAACCCGUGGGUAACCUCCCAUCAGAGGGGAUAACACUUGGAAACAGGUGCUAAACCGAUACUGAUGGAUGGACGCGCGGUGCAUUAGCUAGUUGGUGAGGUAACGGCUCACCCAGGCCACGAUGCAUAGCCGGGCUGGGAGGGUGGUUGGCCACACUGGGACUGAGGCACGGGCCAGACUCCUACGGGAGGCAACAGUAGGGAAUCUUCGGCCAUGGGGCGAACCCUGACCGAGCAACGCCGCGGGAGUGAAGAAGGGUUUCGGAUCGUAAAACUCUGUUGUUAAGGGAGCGGUACUUAAACAAAAAGGGACGGCUAACUACGUGCCAGCAGCCGCGGUAAUAC